CAGUCCCGCCGGAAACCGGAACCUGAAAUAUUAGUUCCUGGACCGCGGAGCGCGCUGUGAAGCCGGCCCACGCUCCAAGACAGGUAAGUAAUUAUGGGACAAGGGGAGGGGGAGACACUAUGGGACAAGGGGAGGGGAGGAGACACUAUGGGACAAGGGGAGGGGGACACUAUGGGAGAAAGGGAGGGGAGACACUAUGGGACAAGGGGAGGGGAGGAGACACUAUGGGACAAGGGGAGGGGGGAGACACUAUGGGACAAGGGGAGG